rnacentral:lncRNA from 1 species
AAAAGUUUUCAGCACAAUAAACACUUUGGUGUGGACUGAAUGCUGAGGUUAGGCUGUGGUUUUAUGAUACCAGAUAGAUGAGGUGGGGAAUAUUGUUUUUGUUUUUCUUCGGAAAGCCUCUUGGAACAAUUUCAACCAUUCAUCACAUCAGGAAGGAACACUAUUGAAAUUUACCUCAACAGACUUCAAUCAAAAUGCAUCAUCUUCAAAGGGAACCUGACACAGAUGUUCCCCAGCUGCUCCAGUCCACCCUGCUGCGUACGUGGGGACCGGCAUUGCUGAGGGGGUGAUCUCUGUGAUGGACUGUUGUCCCACCCAGGUAGGAGCCCUGUGCUCUCUAGUCUGCUUAACACUACGGCAACCAGGAUGAGCUCUGACUCAGGGAGCUGAUGUGGCUCUGGUAUAGAUUUCACCUUUUA